rnacentral:rRNA from 1 species
UUCCGGUUGAUCCUGCCGGAGGUCAUUGCUAUUGGAGUCCGAUUUAGCCAUGCUAGUCGCACGGGUUGAGACCCGUGGCAGAUAGCUCAGUAACACGUGGCCAAACUACCCUCUGGAGCACACUAACCUCGGGAAACUGAGGCUAAUGGUGCAUAGGGCUCGCUGCCUGGAACUGGCGCGAGUGCGAAACGCUCCGGUGCCAGAGGAUGUGGCUGCGGCCGAUUAGGUAGACGGUGGGGUAACGGCCCACCGUGCCGAUAAUCGGUACGGGUUGUGAGAGCAAGAGCCCGGAGACGGUAUCUGAGACAAGAUACCGGGCCCUACGGGGCGCAGCAGGCGCGAAACCUUUACACUGCACGCCAGUGCGAUAAGGGGACUCCGAGUGCGAGGGCAUAUAGUCCUCGCUUUUCACCACCGUAAGGAGGUGGUGGAAUAAGGGCUGGGCAAGACCGGUGCCAGCCGCCGCGGUAAUACCGGCAGCCCGAGUGAUGACCGCUAUUAUUGGGCCUAAAGCGUCCGUAGCUGGCCGCGCAAGUCCGUCGGGAAAUCUCUCCGCUCAACGGAGAGGCGUCCGGUGGAACCUGCGUGGCUUGGGACCGGAAGACCUAGGGGGUACGUCCGGGGUAGGAGUGAAAUCCCGUAAUCCUGGACGGACCACCGGUGGCGAAAGCGCCCUGGGAAGACGGAUCCGACGGUGAGGGACGAAAGCUCGGGUCACGAACCGGAUUAGAUACCCGGGUAGUCCGAGCUGUAAACGAUGUCUGCUAGGUGUGACACAGGCUACGAGCCUGUGUUGUGCCGUAGGGAAGCCGUGAAGCAGACCGCCUGGGAAGUACGUCUGCAAGGAUGAAACUUAAAGGAAUUGGCGGGGGAGCACUACAACCGGAGGAGCCUGCGGUUUAAUUGGAUUCAACGCCGGA